rnacentral:lncRNA from 1 species
UGGUGUUCCCCAGUACUGGGGCAUAUAAAGUUUGUAAGACUUAGGGGCCUCUCUUCCCAAUGAUGGCCAACUAGGCCAUCUUCUGAUACAUAUGCAGCUAGAGACAUGAGCUCUGGGGGUACUGGUUGGUUCAUAUUGUUGUUCCACCUAUAGGGUUGCAGACCCCUUCAGCUCCUUGGGUACUUUCUCUAGCUCCUCCAUUGGGGGCCCUGUGAUACAUCCAAUAGCUGACUGUGAUCAUCCACUUCUGUGUUUGCUAGACCCUGGCAUAGCCUCACAAGAGACAGCUAUAUCUGGGUCCUUUCAGCAAAAUCUUGCUAGUGUAUGCAAUGGAAUCUAGGCUAUUCUUAAUGAGUACACUUAUGUUGUUUUUGCUAAAAUAUCAGGACCUUUUAAUCUAAUGACAUAGCUUUUCCUGUUCUUCUGUUUCUCCUAUACUUUUUCUUACUGCUUUGCCAUUUAGAAGUCCAUCCACAAAAGCAAUUUUUGGAAACGAUGUCUGUUUUUAUGUGUGCAGCUUCACGUUAAAAUUAAAAAUAUCAAUUAAGAAGUUGUUGCUUCCUUCAUACUUCUUUUAUUGUCCAUAAUUAAUGAAUUGUUUGAAUUGGGCUCUCUGGCAUUAGCUGUUGUUAUACUAUCAGAUUGAUGGCAUGCUAAAUAUUUAAGUCAGGUGAGUGUGUUCAUUUCAUAGUACUUGGUAUUUCUAGGAAGCACCUGAGUUUAUGCAGGACUGUUGUUUAUAAAUGGUAGCAGUCGGGGCUAAGACCUCUACUUCAGUACUAGUAACUUUGCCCAGUUCACCCUAUUCUUAUACUGCAUUGUGCAUUCUUUCUAUAUUUUUCUUCAGCUUUUGAAAAUUCCAUACACAUAUAUGUUUUUUAAUUGAUUCUGAGUCCAGUUAAUGCUCACUAUAGAAAAAUAAGUGUGGGAUCACCUGCUGGGCCAACAACAACCUACCAGAGACCCUAUCUCCAGAGAAAAGUGACUUUCCCUGGGAAGCCAGCAAUCACCAACUGUCCUCCUUAACCCUAGAGAACAGAGGUUUGAAAGCAAGAUGAAUCACAAAAUCAUAUUCCCUUUGGAGACCACAGAAAUGCUAUUUUUCACAUACAAACACAAAUACACAUACAUGCAUGCACACACACACACACACACACAUGCACGCACGCACAUACACACGUACACACAUACACAAAGGCACAUACACAUGCACAUGGGCAAGCUUCUGGUGAUACCUAGAAAUUUGUGACUUUCUUUUUACCUUGUUACUCUCAUCUGCCUCUCAUCAGGCUGCUUUCCAACUGUGCCUGCAUUCCUAACUGCAAAUACCUCUCUCCUUAUAAGGACACUACUUACUGAAUUUAGAGACCACUGAAGCCCAGAAGAGUCUCUUUUCAAUUUUCAAAAUAUGUUCAUAUCCACAGAUACCUGGAGUUAGGAAUCCAACAUAUGUCUUCUUAGGGGAUAUAGUUCAAUACUUAAUAAUGGUAUAUUUAAAUUUCUGUAAUUCUUUAUCAUCUAUAGGUAGGAUUCUGUAAAACACUCUUAAAACACUCUGUAAACACCC